UACGGAAGGCAGCAGUGGGGAAUAUUGCACAAUGGGCGAAAGCCUGAUGCAGCUAUGCCGCGUGUAUGAAGAAGGCCUUAGGGUUGUAAAGUACUUUCAUCGGGGAGGAAAAAACAAAACUAAUAAUUUUAUUUCUUGACGUUACCCGAAAAAGAAGCACCGGCUAACUCCGUGCCAGCAGCCGCGGUAAUACGGAGGGUGCUAGCGUUAAUCAGAAUUACUGGGCGUAAAGAGCACGUAGGUGGUUUUUUUAAGUCAGAUGUGAAAUCCCUGGGCUUAACCUAGGAACUGCAUUUUGAAACUGAAAUACUAGAGUAUCGUAGAGGGAGGUAGAAUUCUAGGUGUAGCGGUGAAAUGCGUAGAUAUCUGGAGGAAUACCUGUGGCGAAAGCGGCCUCCUAAACGAAUACUGACACUGAGGUGCGAAAGCGUGGGGAGACGAAACGAGGAUUAGAUACC
rnacentral:rRNA from 1 species